ensembl:lncRNA
CCUCAUGGGAAGGUUCUUACAGCCAGUUAUAUGAAAAACAAAACAAAACAAAACACCUCUGAAGGAUGGUUUACACAAGAAAACAGAACUCAGCCAGUCGGAAUGACACAAUAUACCAUAACAACUCCGCUCAGCUGGGGUCCUAGAAGACACAGCGAGACCUGCCUAGUGGGCAGCAGCUUGAGCUACUUUUAGUUUCACUUGGCUGGUAAUGGAAAUAACAAGAUACUUGGAAACACAUCUUCCUUGACUUGUAAUGGGGUUACAUCCUGAUAAACCCACUGUAAAUUGAAAAUACUGUAAGUUGAAGAUGUUUUUAGUAUACCUUACCUAUCAAACAUCAUAAUUUAACCUAGCCUAUCUUAAAUAUGCUCAGAACCCUUAUACAAGCCUACAGCUGGAAAAAAAAUCAUCUAACACAAAGUAUAUUUUAUAAUAGAGUGUUGGAUAUCUCAGAUAAUGUGCUGAGUAGUGUGGUGAAACUGAAAGACAAAAUGGUUGUAUGGACACAGAAUGGCUAUAAAAGUGUCCAUUGCUCAUCCUCAUUUGACCGACCAGCAUUGCUGGAGAGUAUCAGAUUGCAAUCACUAGCCUGGGAAAAGAUCAAAAUUCAAAAUCUGAAGCAGAGCUUUUACUGGAUGUGUAUCACUUUUGCACCAUCAUGAAGUUGAAAAAUCAUAAGUCAAACCAUCAUAAGUCUGUAUAUACCAAUUUAUUAAUGGAAUUUACUUCAUGAGUUUACUGAGUAAUAAUGAAUAUGGAAGGAACAUAAUUGGAGCAUAGGUAAUAGGGAAGUCAGAGGAGGAAGAAAAUGGGAAUCAACAGAAGAGAACCUUUUAGGAGACCUCCUGGGCUUCAACAAGAGAUGCUCUGCAGCUCCACCGCAUCCUCUGGAAGUUGUUCGUCUGUGUAGCGCUGACCUGAGAUCAUCGCUGGAAGUUGCCUGGGAUCCUGGAAGUUCCUAAUGCCCUUAUGGCUGGGGACGCAAUAGUGACUAAUAAUGAAUGCUUUCUAUGGUCGCUAAUUCUCCAGCCCUUCCGAUGUAUUUUUAAGCCACUAGUUCACUGUAUUAAAUGUCUUCCUGCUUGCAAUACCAGGCUGGUUUCUUCAUUUUUAUGACUGAAUUCUGACUGAUACCACGUAAUUGCUUGAAUCAAUUUAAAAAUUUUGAGAUUUGGCAAUACUGCUUAUUUUAGCCUCUAUUUUGAAAUGAAAAUUUUAUAGAUCAACUCUUACCACACUAAACAAAAUCCUUAAAUAGGCUUUGCAGGGUAAGAAAUGAGAGAACAUUAUUGAUUCUUG